rnacentral:rRNA from 1 species
GGACUGCCUUUUGCAUAAUGAGCCUGCGAGUUGUGGUGUCUGGCAAGGUUAAGCAAACGCGAAGCCGUAGCGAAAGCGAGUCUGAAUAGGGCGCUUAGUCAGAUGCUGCAGACCCGAAACGAAGUGAUCUAUCCAUGAGCAAGUUGAAGCUAGUGUAAGAACUAGUGGAGGACUGAACCCAUAGGCGUUGAAAAGCCCCGGGAUGACUUGUGGAUAGGGGUGAAAGGCCAAUCAAACUUCGUGAUAGCUGGUUCUCUCCGAAAUAUAUUUAGGUAUAGCGUUGUGUCGUAAUAUAAGGGGGUAGAGCACUGAAUGGGCUAGGGCAUACACCAAUGUACCAAACCCUAUCAAACUCCGAAUACCUUAUAUGUAAUCACAGCAGUCAGGCGGCGAGUGAUAAAAUCCGUCGUCAAGAGGGAAACAACCCAGACUACCAGCUAAGGUCCCUAAAUCUUACUUAAGUGGAAAACGAUGUGAAGUUACUUAAACAACCAGGAGGUUGGCUUAGAAGCAGCCAUCCUUUAAAGAAAGCGUAAUAGCUCACUGGUCUAGUGAUUUUGCGCGGAAAAUAUAACGGGGCUAAAGUAAGUACCGAAGCUGUAGACUUAGUUUACUAAGUGGUAGGAGAGCGUUCUAUUUGCGUCGAAGGUAUACCGGUAAGGAGUGCUGGAGCGAAUAGAAGUGAGCAUGCAGGCAUGAGUAGCGAUAAUUAAUGUGAGAAUCAUUAACGCCGUAAACCCAAGGUUUCCUACGCGAUGCUCGUCAUCGUAGGGUUAGUCGGGUCCUAAGUCGAGUCCGAAAGGGGUAGACGAUGGCAAAUUGGUUAAUAUUCCAAUACCAACAUUAGUGUGCGAUGGAAGGACGCUUAGGGCUAAGGGGGCUAGCGGAUGGAAGUGCUAGUCUAAGGUCGUAGGAGGUUAUACAGGCAAAUCCGUAUAACAAUACUCCGAGAACUGAAAGGCUUUUUGAAGUCUUCGGAUGGAUAGAAGAACCCCUGAUGCCGUCGAGCCAAGAAAAGUUUCUAAGUUUAGCUAAUGUUGCCCGUACCGUAAACCGACACAGGUGGGUGGGAUGAGUAUUCUAAGGCGCGUGGAAGAACUCUCUUUAAGGAACUCUGCAAAAUAGCACCGUA